CAGGAUCCGGCGCACAGCGGGACGCGGCGUCCGGAGCGGCCGGCGUCCGGGGCUCGCCCGCGCCCCUCCCUCCUCUCCCGCGGCGGCGGCGGCGGCGGCGGCGGCGGGCGGAGUGAGCGGCGGAGCCUGGAAUAUGGUCGGGGAAAUGGAAACGAAGGAGAAGCCGAAGCCCACUCCGGAUUACCUGAUGCAGCUGAUGAACGACAAGAAGCUCAUGAGCAGCCUGCCUAACUUCUGCGGGAUCUUCAACCACCUCGAGCGGCUGCUGGACGAAGAAAUUAGCAGAGUACGGAAAGACAUGUACAAUGACACAUUAAAUGGCAGUACAGAGAAAAGGAGUGCAGAAUUGCCUGAUGCUGUGGGACCUAUUGUUCAGUUACAAGAGAAACUUUAUGUGCCUGUAAAAGAAUACCCAGAUUUUAAUUUUGUUGGGAGAAUCCUUGGACCGAGAGGACUUACUGCUAAACAGCUUGAAGCAGAAACUGGAUGUAAAAUAAUGGUCCGAGGUAAAGGCUCAAUGAGGGAUAAAAAGAAGGAGGAGCAGAAUAGAGGCAAGCCCAACUGGGAGCAUCUGAAUGAAGAUUUACAUGUACUAAUCACUGUGGAAGAUGCUCAAAACAGAGCAGAAAUCAAACUGAAAAGAGCAGUUGAAGAAGUGAAGAAAUUACUGGUGCCUGCAGCAGAAGGAGAAGACAGCUUGAAGAAGAUGCAGCUGAUGGAGCUCGCAAUUUUGAAUGGCACCUACCGAGAUGCCAACAUUAAAUCACCAGCCCUUGCCUUUUCUCUUGCAGCAACAGCCCAAGCUGCUCCAAGGAUCAUUACUGGGCCUGCGCCUGUUCUUCCUCCAGCUGCCCUUCGUACUCCUACGCCAGCUGGUCCUACCAUAAUGCCUUUGAUCAGACAAAUACAGACCGCUGUCAUGCCAAACGGAACUCCUCACCCCACUGCUGCAAUAGUCCCUCCAGGGCCUGAGGCUGGGUUAAUCUACACACCCUAUGAAUACCCGUACACGUUGGCACCAGCUACAUCGAUUCUUGAGUACCCUAUUGAACCCAGUGGUGUAUUAGGUAUGGCUUUCCCAACGAAAGGCUAAGAAUUCAAGAUCGGUCUUAACUGAACUCUCAUCAGAUCUGAAUUUAACAAAUGCUUAGUCUCAGCAGCCUCCGGGGAAAAAGCUUAGCCUAGCAGUCAGUGGCUUACUUGCACUUUUUGCACAUAGAUAUAAAGUAAAAUCAUGUUAUUAAUUUGGUUUCAUCUGUAAUAUCACAAAGUAAUGGUAAUUUAUAAAGGAGUGUAUAGUAGUGUACUGACUGCUAAGUGUACUAUACUGUUUGCUUUACUAAUCACCUAAUUCAUUGCAGUUCAUACUUAUUGACUCAGAGUUUAAAACCACAGUCUGUAGGCUUUAAGAAUUGCUUUCAAACCUUUUUAAAGUAACCAACUCUGGAAGUGGUCUUAAGGUUAGUAAAUAAUUGUCAGUAUUAAAUAUGGCAUUAUUUAGUUCUGCUGGAAGAAAGGCACUUCAGUGAAUAUGUGACUAGUAAAGCUCAAAUAUGUUUGCAUCUAAUAGAGUUCAUGAAAUACUGUAACUUGAGGACUGUAAAUGAAUGAAUAAGAUAGGUUAAGGCCAACGUGUUUGAAAUGAAUGCAAUAUUAAUAGAUGCAUAUAUGUGACAUAUUACAAUUAAUUUUAAAACUACUGUGCCUUAACAUGUUUCUUAAACUUUUGUAGUAAAUGAAUAUUUGAAAUCCAUUUUGAUAAACCUGCUGUUAAUGUUUUCCCCUCCUUAUGUAUGUUUUCUAACUUUGUCUUGGUAAUUGCAAUUUAACUAGGUGCGGUGGCUACUAAAGUUCGAAGGCACGAUAUGCGUGUCCAUCCUUACCAAAGGAUUGUGACCGCAGACCGAGCCGCCACCGGCAACUAACCUAUGACCUUCUGACCUCUGAACUCUUCACCCAAUGAUGACCUGACCAUGCCUGCCUGCUGAUCAGUUAACUGGUAAUCGCCUUUGCUUGCCUGUCGUCAGUGCAGCGAGCUGAGGCACUUGUCCGUUCGUCUUACCAUCUAACCAAACAAAAGACAAAGAAAUUGUUGUUCUCCAACUCGGCCCCCCCCCCCCAUUUGGGUGAAAGUGGUUCUAGCACCUGCACUGAAUAGUAGUAAAGCAAUAAGGCCCAACUCAUCCCACAGCACUGAUCAUCUCUCAGUAUCCCACCCUAAGCGAACGGUAAGAAGGCCUCUCUUUAAGAAGGGAGACAUAGCCCUCAACUACUUGAUGACAGAGGCAGUUACUGUGAGAGACUUCUAGGAAUCUUUUUCUUCUUAUAGUGAAGUCAAAGCUCUCUGAAUGUACUGUGUGAUGAUGCAUCAUGCAUGAACCUUUGGUCAGGGAUGUCAUGGUGAAGUGAUUUCAAAAAGUAUUCAAAAUUUGAUAUGCUGUUUAGUCACUACAGUGCCCUCAAAGGGCAAAAGUUGCAGCCUUUUUUAUAUUGCCUGCCAAAAUUUGAAGUAUUAGAAGAAAAGUGUGCCAUGAGAGAAAAACUUAACAAGGAGUUUUGAAAAGUAAUGCAAAGAACAAAACUGCAACACUAUUUUUAAAAAGAUGAAUAUCUGAGUGAAAAUUACUUAAACUUUAUUUUACACCUCCUUAAAAAAUAUAUGAGAACAAGGUACAUGCAUUAUGUGUCACAUUACUGGGCAAACUGUUCAAAUAUUUUUUUUAAACCUCCCUGUAUAGAAAAAAAAAAAAUCAUUAAGGAUGUAAAAGCCAUGCUUGCCUAUUUGCUGUAUACAUGUAAUGAAAUUGUAGAUAAAGUGUAGUGCAUUGAAACAAAUGAACAAAAAGUAGAUACUUUUACUAUACAAGGGUGCUGGUGCAGAAAAAAAAAUAUAUAUUUUUGGAAAUGUAGCAUUUUAUACUUUCAAGUGUUAUAAAAAAAGAAAAAGAACAAAGAAACCCUUUAUUUCAUUAAAUGAUUUUUUCUGGUGGUUGUCAAGAAACAAAAGACCAAAAGAGCCUUUUUGUCUUUCUUUUUUAUUUUUUAAGUAUUGGAAUAAGUCUAAAGAAAAGAAAGUGCCUUAUUUUCCUUCAUGGUCAUUUAGUCAAGUGUCUUGUAAGAUCAGCUCCUCCCUUGGAAUAAAAGUUAAUGCAUGUUAUUCAGUCGCCCAGUAUGUGAAUGAAGAUAGGAGAGGAGCCAAAUGAGUUGAUGGUUUUAAUUUUAUGAUUUGUGCCACAUUAUUUUGAUGCAAAUUUGCCAAAUCUGAUACUGUGAAAAAAUUUGAUAACUUUUCUAAUGUCUGACUAGUUAGUUUUAAAACAUCAUUCUUUUAAAAAUCAUCAUUGAGUACUUUGGGUUAUUACAGUCUUCAUUGUUAGCCCAAAGGAUUCUGAGAUAGAAAUUAUGUAAGAUCUGAACAUCAGAUCAGAAAUUACAGACAAAGUAGAGCUUUAUUCUAUUUGGAGAAGGGGGAUACAUUGACUGUUUUCUUAAUUUGGAGAUAAUAGUAUACCUAGCAGACUUUUUCACAAAAUAAAGCUUGUGAUUUUCAUUCUGGAAAACAGUAUUUUGUAGUAACCCAAAUUUAAUCAAAUUUCUUUAUAUCAUACCAGCCUACUGUGUGGUUCAUCUUUCUGCUGGCUUUAAUAACUGUUCCUCCUUCCAUACACACCUUUUUUGUCCCCUUUUUUAACUUUAAAAGAAUGUGAAAAACUAGCAUCAUUGUGUAUGUAAACACUCAACUACGUUUCAGUUUAAGCUUCCAGUUUCUCAUGAAGGUCAGCCAGUUUUGUAGUUGAAACAAUAUUUGUGCAAAACCUACAUCUAAACACUUGAGGAAAUAAUCAUUAACUGUUCAGUACCAGACGUGGCAAAUCUCAAGUGGCAGUGAACUUCCAGCUCAUCAACUCGUUCCCUCUCCCAUACCUUCGCAGCUUCACAGUAAAGGUCAGCAGGAAGCGCAGUUUGCAUCUUCAUGGUGACCUCUCCAUUAUCUUGUUUUUCACUUGGAACCGUUUUCAGUUUAUUUACUAUGCAAUAGACAGUCAUUCUUUUGUACUCAGCUAGCUUUGGUUUAAUGUGCCACUGCUUUGUCUUUCUGUUACACAUACAAUUGUUUUUGAUUUAUUUACAAUAUAUGCUGUGCCAUUUUGAUUUUAUUGUGUUUGGUUGGUUGAAUAAAUUUGCGACACUCAAACACUUGAGGUGAUAGUUAAAAAUAAUACCAGUAUUUGAUCCAGUUUCAUCUCAACUGUGUAAUACCUGGACAUUUUAGAUGUUUAUCAAAGGUCUUUUAUGGGAAAGAAAGCAAAUGUAUGAAAUAAUAAGUGUGUGACAUUUAUAAGUAAUGUUGGCUCAGAACAAACUUUUGAAAACUUAGUUGACAAUUUUUUGGAUUAACAAAACAAAAAGCAUGACUUUUGAAAUCUCUGAAUGCCUUGGUUCUCAGUAUUAUCAUUCUUUAUUGAAUUUAUUUCUUAUUAAAGUAUGUAGUUUUUAAGACUUUUUUCUGACAGUAUUAUGUAAUUUUUUAGUGUGGGUAGAUGGGAGUGUCGCUUGUAUGUUAUUGUACUGCUGACAUGUAUUUUUUGUCUAUUCUUUAUUACCUUAGUAGUUUCAUGCUUUGUAUGUACCAUAACCAACCUAUUGCCUAUGAGAAACAUGUAAGAUAAUGUAUUUACAGCCAUUGUUACAAGUUUAUAAUGUAUUUUUCUAUCUUGUUUUAUAUGUAUGUUAUAUAACAUUCAAAAAGAAUUUUUUUCUUGAUUGAGAAAAGGAUACAAAAUGCAAAAUUCACAAUUUUGAUAACUGAAAAUUGCCAAUUGUUUUGCAGUACUUUAUUAUACUGGGUGUCUUGUCUUUUUUGGGCUUUUAGUUAGCUAAUGAAUGAAUACAUUAGACACUUUGGGUUUUAGUUGGGAUUUUACAUAGCUUGCAUUUUAAUUCUUUGGUUCUUUGCUGUUUCUAUUAACCCAUAGCAUUAUUUUAAUAAAUGUUAUAAUACCAACCUACUAACUCUGGACUAUGUCUGUUUAUUAACCUUUACAUGUUUAAUUAAAAUAAACAAACAAAGACAAAAGAAUGUAAAGUCUUGAGUUACUGGACUAACCCUGAAGAACGUGACCACAGAUAACAUAGCGUGACUCGUUUUUAUGUUGUUUGUCAGCUGACAGUUCUGCACACUACUGUUAAAAUGGCUUUGGUUAUUCUAGUCUUUUACCUUGGGGGAUAGGUGCCAGUAGACAUGGGAACAAAGUAGCAUUUGUUUAAAGCACUCUUCUAGUCAUGCCACUUGCCUUUCAGCAUCUGCCUUACUAAUUGCACACUUUAUUUUUCCUUCUCCAAAGUAAUCACUGUCUGCUCACAGCAAUAUAGAGUAAAGAGAUUCAUUGUGAUGUGUACUCUGAGAUACCAGUUUGAUUCGUUGUUGAACCAUUUGGUUUAUUUCUGUAAGUAAGUGUUUUUAUGGUCCUGUUGUAAAGCAAAAAUGGGGUGACAUUUUACCUGUAUUAGGUUUCUGUUUUAGCUUAACAUUUUCCUGUUGUGAAGUGUCCACCUUGUUUAGCCAGCCGCUCUUACUAAAGAAACUGAACAUAGGUAAGGCCAGAGGCAGACGGGGUCCGUUUUUCGUGACAUUUCAAAGUAAGUGAUGCAUGACCACAGUGCAAUCCUCCAGCUCUUUCCUCCUCAAGCCUCCUGUGCAUUAUGGAGUUUUUCUCAGGUGGUUUUUCUCUCUCACCCAUUUCCCAAACAAGACUAUAACAUUGAUAAAAGAAGUUUAGGAGAAAAGAACGCUGAGAUUUGAAGGGUUUAUAUGUGAUUAAUUUCUUGCAUGUAAAUCAGUUUUAAGAUUUCUUAUUCUCAUGCUUUUCUUGGCUGCAAAUGAACCUCUAAUUAUGACUUAAUUAGUUUAACUCUUGGUGUGUGUUUUUAUGUCACAAUCUGAUAAUUGCCUUUUUGUGAAACACUUCUGCAUAUGGAAAAAUUUCUCAGGAUGAAUUUUUACAUUUGUAAAUAUUUGUUUAUUUUUGUAAAUUUUAUUUAUUUAGAGUUCUAUAAGUUUGGGCUGCACGGAGUUAUAUAUAGUAAAAUCAUAACUACUAAUAUGCUCCUAACCAAUCAAACCAUCAAAGUAUUCUCAAUUUCAUAUAUGAAUGUGCAUUUAUGAAAUUCAUAGAAUACCAAUAACUGGUUUAAUCCUCAUUGGUCCCUAUUAGAUCCAUGUAAGCAAAUAUAAUCAUUUCUGUGAUAGAAACAGGCAGUAAAUAUUGUUAGGUAGACAAAUCUUUGAUAUACUACUAUCUGUAACAAUUCCUUUUGCCAUAGCAAGUUUGUGUGUUCCGUGCAAGUGUAAAGAUGUCUGUCAGACUGCUAAUACACAAAUUGUCAUGGUACUGUCACUUAAAUUGGAAAAUUUCUAUGCAGUUUACUGUUUUCUAAAGCCUAUGAAUGCAGUCUCAUCUCAUUUUUAGUGAAAAGUACUUUAUGUAUAAUUACAUUAUAUUGUCACCUUUUAUGUUGGAAAUGUUGUACAGAACAGUUUAAAAGGUGAAAUAGUAUUAUAGACCUUACUUUUAUACAGGUUGGAUAGUAUUAAAUGUAGAACCACUGAAUUCCUGGAAUGGUAAAAUUCUGGAAUCAGUUUAUUGUUUGAUACUAUUACUUGAUAAAGUGAUUUAAAAUUGAGCGUUCAGUCCAGAGUUAGUGAAAUUAAUGUACUUGGUUAAGUGUUUUGUUUUGUUUUUGUAUUUUUCCUUUAGGCAAAAUGUCAGGGUAAAACAGCAUAAAAGUAAAUAUCUGCACACAUCCUGGUGCAUUAGCUCAAUGCAUGAUUAGUCUACUUGAGGGGACGGGAAACACCCUGUCCAUAAAACAAAGAUUGUGUGUUCAUACACAAGAUAGAUAUUUGGUUAAGGCUAAGUACUACAUAAAUGUAAAAGAUUUAAUUUCUUAAUGCACAAAAUGCAAGAGGUAGGUUUAAACGAAAUUACUCUUUGCGAAAUUGAAUCAUUUCAGUCAAGUCCAACACUGACAUCUCAUGUGUGACAUUUUUAAGAUUCAGGGGUUUUUUGUUUGGUUGGUGGUUUGGUUUUCCAUGUUCCUUGAUAACAAUGUUUGUUACACUGUUCCCCAUUUUUUGGUAGAAUGAAACAUUGCCAAAUUAUAAUCCAUUGCUUAACAACAAUUACUGUCAGAAAACAUCUUAGACUCAAAUAACUUCCUAUAUUGUCAUAAAUCCUUUAAUAUCUUUAUUUAAAGUGAUAAUAGUUUAACAUUUAAUGGACAGUACUAUUUUAUAAAUACUCAUGAUACAUGUAAUUUUGUCUGUAGUUGCUUUAAUGUAGAAUUAUCUAAAUUGUUACAUUUUGAAAAGCCUUAACAAAAUUACAUGCACAGUUGGUACUCAAUGCUGAAUCAAACUGGUUAACCUAAACACAGUACUCUCCUUUCUCUGUUUUCUGCUGCACUAAUUACCAGGAUUUGGGAGAGAAGAAGGCAUUAAUUCAUGAUAGGUAGAAAUGAAAGAGGUGCAGCAUUACCCAAUAUUGACUUCACAUUACUUAUUUGCUAUCCUUUCUUUACAAGACAUCACCACAUUGUGGGAAGAUCUUGGCUCUGGGUUAAAAUUAACAUAUCUUUUAAACAGUGCUAUUGAGAAAUUUUGAUUACCAAAUAAAGCUUCUGUGGUGUAUGAUAGUGCUAUGUGUAAAACAUUUAGAAAUUGUGGACAUUGUGUAUAUGUAUAUUGGAAUAGGUGUUCCCAGGUCACAUGUAAACAGAGAACUGCAAAUGACUGUACACGAAGUGCAAUAAACCAACUGGAAAAAGUA